CCCUUAGAUGCUCUGGGCCGCACGCGCGCUACACUGGUCGAUGCAACGAGUUUCUUUCCUUGGCCGACAGGCCUGGGCAAUCUUUGAACAUCGAUCGUGAUCGGGAUAGAUUCUUGUAAUUUUUGAUCUUAAACGAGGAAUUCCUAGUAAACGCAAGUCAUCAGCUUGCAUUGAUUACGUCCCUGCCCUUUGUACACACCGCCCGUCGCACCUACCGAUUGAAUGGUCCGGUGAAAUCUCCGGAUUGGCGCGCACCUCGGUGCCGCCGAGAAGUUGGCUAAACCUUACCAUUUAGAGGAAGGUGAAGUCGUAACA
rnacentral:rRNA from 1 species